rnacentral:rRNA from 1 species
UACGGGGGGGGCAAGCGUUGUUCGGAAUUACUGGGCGUAAAGGGCUCGUAGGUGGCCAACUAAGUCGGACGUGAAAUCCCUCAGCUUAACUGGGGAACUGCGUCCGAUACUGUAUGGCUUGAGUUUGGGAGAGGGAUGCGGAAUUCCAGGUGUAGCGGUGAAAUGCGUAGAUAUCUGGAGGAACACCGGUGGCGAAGGCGGCAUCCUGGACCAACACUGACACUGAGGAGCGAAAGCCAGGGGAGCAAACGGG